GCAGUCGACGGUAACGGAAGCAGCUUGCUGCUUCGCUGACGAGUGGCGGACGGGUGAGUAAUGUCUGGGAAACUGCCUGAUGGAGGGGGAUAACUACUGGAAACGGUAGCUAAUACCGCAUAACGUCGCAAGACCAAAGAGGGGGACCUUCGGGCCUCUUGCCAUCGGAUGUGCCCAGAUGGGAUUAGCUAGUAGGUGGGGCAACGGCUCACCUAGGCGACGAUCCCUAGCUGGUCUGAGAGGAUGACCAGCCACACUGGAACUGAGACACGGUCCAGACUCCUACGGGAGGCAGCAGUGGGGAAUAUUGCACAAUGGGCGCAAGCCUGAUGCAGCCAUGCCGCGUGUAUGAAGAAGGCCUUCGGGUUGUAAAGUACUUUCAGCGGGGAGGAAGGGAGUAAAGUUAAUACCUUUGCUCAUUGACGUUACCCGCAGAAGAAGCACCGGCUAACUCCGUGCCAGCAGCCGCGGUAAUACGGAGGGUGCAAGCGUUAAUCGGAAUUACUGGGCGUAAAGCGCACGCAGGCGGUUUGUUAAGUCAGAUGUGAAAUCCCCGGGCUCAACCUGGGAACUGCAUCUGAUACUGGCAAGCUUGAGUCUCGUAGAGGGGGGUAGAAUUCCAGGUGUAGCGGUGAAAUGCGUAGAGAUCUGGAGGAAUACCGGUGGCGA
rnacentral:rRNA from 1 species